AUAUUACGAGCAUAACAUGUUCUGCUAAGGGGGAUAGAGAACAAUUCCUUUCUGCGACACUGAAGUAUACGGGCACGAGGGGCCGAGAUAAUCCAUUUCAAGUAAGGAAGGGAUUUCUAAUUUUGAAUUUAUAUUUUAUAUAGUAAAACAGAAUCUGCGCAAUUACGCCAAUUGCCGAGUGACUGC